GGAGAAAACAGAGUUUGUAGCCACUGCAUUCAUAGCGGGUUAAAAGAGGCAAUAAGAAAAUGAAAUAUUUGGGAAGAAGAAUAAUAAUAUAUGUUUUGCUUUACAUAGAAUAGGCAUGAAUAGAUAUUUAGUUUAUACUCUACUGCUGCCAUGAUGACCAGGUGUUUCUAAUCAAACAUCAUAUCAGUCAAAUUUCCUUAAUCCUCAGCAUAUAAAUGUUAAGGCACCAGUUGAUUGCCAAGUGCAGACAACUCGAUGCAUCUUUCAUUUAACACUUUAAUCUUGAUUUGUGAUGCAGCAUUUCUUAAAGAUGGCCCUGGUGGAGGCAGUAGACAUCUUUUGCAGGAUUGCUAAGGUUCAAGUACUGUAGUUGUCCGUUCACACCUAUGUUUAAGCAUAAGAAUUGUGGCAUUGUUUUCACUGACAGAUUGAAAACUGAUACCUAGCGUAGCAAGCUCACAUUGAUGGAGCUUGCUAUCUCGGACUAGUUUUCAAAGAGUCAGAUGAUAACUUUUUAAACUUAUAAUUCUGAAACUUGAAGAUAACAUAUU
rnacentral:misc_RNA from 1 species